rnacentral:rRNA from 1 species
GACGAACGCUGGCGGCGUGCUUAACACAUGCAAGUCGAGCGGUAAGGCCUCUUCGGGGGUACACGAGCGGCGAACGGGUGAGUAACACGUGAGCAAUCUGCCCUUCACUUUGGGAUAACCACCGGAAACGGUGGCUAAUACCGGAUAUGACCACUUCGCGCAUGUGAUGGUGGUGGAAAGUUCUGGCGGUGGAGGAUGAGCUCGCGGCCUAUCAGCUUGUUGGUGGGGUAAUGGCCUACCAAGGCGACGACGGGUAGCCGGCCUGAGAGGGUGACCGGCCACACUGGGACUGAGACACGGCCCAGACUCCUACGGGAGGCAGCAGUGGGGAA